rnacentral:rRNA from 1 species
GACGAACGCUGGCGGCGUGCUUAACACAUGCAAGUCGAACGGAAAGGUCCUGCUUUUGUGGGUCGCUCGAGUGGCGCACGGGUGAGUAACACGUGAGGAACCCGUCCUUGACCUUGUGAUAACUUCAGGAAACUGGGGCUAAUACCGGAUAUGAGCUCCUGCUGCGUGGUGGUGGUUGGUAAGUGUCGGCUUUGGGGGAUGGACUCGCUGCUUAUCAGCUUGUUGGUGGGGUAGUGGCGUACCAAGGCUUGGACGGGUAGCCUGCCUUAGAGGGUGACCAGCCACAUUGGGACUGAGAUACGGCGCAGACGCCUACGUGCGGCAUCAGUGGAGAAUAUUGCGCAGUGGGCGGAAGCGAGAUGGAACAACGCCGCGUGCGGGAAGAUGGCCUAGGAGUUAUGAACCGAUUUCGACUGAGACGAGGCCUGAGUGACGGUACUGAGUCAAGAAGCCCCGGCUAACUACGUG